GGCGAAAAACUUGAUGCUAAUGCAAUAUCUCGUGUAUUACUUAAAGAUUUUGUUUUGAUCCGCCUCAAGCGAUUUAACACCGCCUCAACAAGGGAAACUUCAUUUUUGUUUUAUUGCUAUGUGCACACAGUAUUAAGAAUAACGGGAACAACACUCGUGACAGAGUGAUUAAACUAGUCAAGCAACUCAAGUUUGAGAAACCUAGCCAUGGUCAACUACUAGAUAUUAUCUUGCUCAGCCAAAGAUGUAGG